rnacentral:rRNA from 1 species
GACAGCAGUCGCCGCGGUAAUACGAAGGGUGCAAGCGUUACUCGGAAUUACUGGGCGUAAAGCGUGCGUAGGUGGUGGUUUAAGUCCGUUGUGAAAGCCCUGGGCUCAACCUGGGAAUUGCAGUGGAUACUGGAUCACUAGAGUGUGGUAGAGGAUAGUGGAAUUUCCGGUGUAGCAGUGAAAUGCGUAGAGAUCGGAAGGAGCAUCUGUGGCGAAGGCGACUAUCUGGGCCAACACUGACACUGAGGCACAAAAGCGUGGGAGCAAACAGGAUUAGAUACCCCCGUAGUCCCUGUCUCUUAUACA